CAGAAAGGCGCUCCUGACCUCGCGAGGACAUGACCGUAGACAAGUCAUAUCCUUGCAGCUCAGAGCACCUUUCUCCACGUUUCGGCCACCCCCAUGCCGAUCUCCGGGGGCGCAG
rnacentral:sRNA from 1 species